AGGGAUUUAGGAUAAGUAGACCAAGAGCCUUCAAAGCCCUAAGUGGGAGUGGAAAUCUCUCAAUCCCUG
rnacentral:tRNA from 1 species